rnacentral:rRNA from 1 species
UCUUCCCUCUCUCUUCCUGCCUAAUACAUGCAAGCCGAACGGCAAGUUUGAUAGCAAUAUUGGACCUAGAGUGGCGCAAGGGUGCGUAACACGUAUGCAACCUGCCCGCGACAGGAGGAUAGCUCCCCGAAAGGGGAAUUAACCCUCCAUAACACCAUGAGAAGGCAUCUGAUUAUGGUUAAACCGCAAGGGGUCGCGGAUGGGCAUGCGGUUGAUUAGCUAGUUGGCGGGGUAAAGGCCCACCAAGGCGGUGAUCAAUAGGGGUUCUGAGAGGAAGGUCCCCCACACUGGCACUGAGAGACGGGCCAGACUCCGACGGGAGGCAGCAGUAGGGAAUAUUGGACAAUGGUUGCAAGACUGAUCCAGCCAUGCCGCGUGCAGGAAGAAGGCCUUCUGGGUCGUAAACUGCUUUUUCCUGUGGAUAAAAUACCCGUGCGCGGGGAAUUGAAGGUAACAGGGGAAUAAGCCACGGCUAACUACGUG